rnacentral:lncRNA from 1 species
UAAAGAAGCAGUGAAAAUACUUUAAAUAAAGUUGUAGGAAAAAAAAAGUUUAUGCACACUUUUUUCCUUUUCAGAAGCUAAAAAGCAGAGCAAGUAUAAAUUCUGGGCUCCUAAAUCAAAUUUCAGAGACUUCAUUGCAUCAAAAUGGGCUUAUUUGCUCCCUGAUGUCUGUUUGUCCUUUACUAUAGGGGCUCCCAAACACACCAAAUGCUAGCGGAGCUCCAGGUCUACUUUGGAGGCUGGAGACUACUUUGUUCACUGGCAUUUGACUAGGACCCUGAGGUCACAGCUUGCUUUUAUGAUGUGGAGACAAUGACUCUAAGUGAUGAAUGGAGAGCUUGCUAAUUGAACUUGAAGCAUUAAAUGUUCUCCUGAAAGCACUCAACCUAAUGAGGUAACAAAAGCUCCAGAGGACAAAAAUUAAGCAAAGCAAGUUAGUUCUUGAAUGAAACUCUUGAAACCCCAAUUUGAGACAAUAAAGAAGAAGGAAAAGGAAAAAAAAUUAGAAAAAGGAAAAAUGACAGAAUAUGAGGAUUACAAGCCCAGACAUCUACUUGGCCUAUCCCAGAGAAGGCUGUUCGGAGUCCGGGCACAUGUGGCCACAGAAGGGUCAGCUGCCUCUGGACCCCAGUUUGUUGUAAGGCGAAGUGUGGGCUCAGCGCUGCUAGACAUUUCAGGUAUUCGGAAGGACGCUGUUUGGGUUUGGGCUCCCCUGAAAGCAAGCCCUGGGACAGGGAUUUGGGAACAAGCGUUUAUUUGGGAGGGGAUUCUCAGAACUUGUGA